GACGAACGCUGGCGGCGUGCCUAACACAUGCAAGUCGAACGGAAAGGCCCCAGCUUGUUGGAGUCAUCGAUUGGCGAUCGCGUGAGUAACACGUGUGUAAUCUGCCCUGCAUUUUGGGAUAAGCCUAGGUAACUGGGCCUAAUACUGUAUAUGACCCUUCUCCCUAUGGGGUUUGGUGGAACGUGUUUCGGUGUAGGAUGAGCCCGCGGCCUAUCAGCUUGUUGGGGGGGCGAGGGCCUACCGAGGCGACGACGGGUAGCCGACCUGAGAGGGUGAUCGGCGACCAUGUGACUGAGAUACGGAGCAGACUCGUACAGGAGGCAGCGGUGGGGAAUAUGGCACAGUGAGCGGAAGCCGGAUACAAAGACGCCGCGGGAGGAAAGACGGCCUGCGGGUUAAAAACCGCUUUCAGCGAGGACGAAGCGUAUGUGACGGUACCUGAAGAAGAAGCACCGGCUAACUAUGUG
rnacentral:rRNA from 1 species